AUUGAACGCUGGCGGCAGGCCUAACACAUGCAAGUCGAGCGGAGCGGCGGACGGGCGAGUAAUGCAUAGGAAUCUGCCUGGUAGUGGGGGAUAACGUCAGGAAACGGGCGCUAAUACCGCAUACUAUCAGAUGAGUCUAGGUGGGAUUAGCUAGUUGGUGGGGUAAGGGCUUACCAAGGCGACGAUCCGUAACUGGUCUGAGAGGAUGAUCAGUCACACUGGAACUGAGACACGGCCCAGACUCCUACGGGAGGCAGCAGUGGGGAAUAUUGGACAAUGGGCGAAAGCCUGAUACAGCCAUGCCGCGUGUGUGAAGAAGGUCUUCGGAUUGUAAAGCACUUUAAGUUGGGAGGCGUUACCGACAGAAGAAGCACCGGCUAACUCCGUGCCAGCAGCCGCGGUAAUAC
rnacentral:rRNA from 1 species